AGGUAAGCUACUAAGAGCGAAUGGUGGAUGCCUUGACUGGUAAAGGCGAUGAAGGACGUACUAGACUGCGAUAAGCUACGGGGAGCUGUCAAGAAGCUUUGAUCCGUAGAUUUCCGAAUGGGGCAACCCAAUGUAUAGAGAUAUACAUUACCUAUAUAGGAGCGAACGAGGGGAAUUGAAACAUCUUAGUACCCUCAGGAAAAGAAAUCAAUAGAGAUUGCGUCAGUAGCGGCGAGCGAAAGCGCAAGAGGGCAAACCCAGUGCUUGCACUGGGGGUUGUAGGACUGCAAUGUGCAAGAGGUAAGUUUAGCAGAACAUUCUGGAAAGUAUAACCAUAGAGGGUGAUAGUCCCGUAUGCGAAAAACAAACCUUAGCUAGCAGUAUCCUGAGUAGGGCGGGACACGAGGAAUCCUGUCUGAAUCCGGGUCGACCACGAUCCAACCCUAAAUACUAAUACCAGAUCGAUAGUGCACAAGUACCGUGAGGGAAAGGUGAAAAGAACUGAGGUGAUCAGAGUGAAAUAGAACCUGAAACCAUUUGCUUACAAUCAUUCAGAGCCCUAUGUAGCAAUACAGGGUGAUGGACUGCCUUUUGCAUAAUGAGCCUGCGAGUUGUGGUGUCUGGCAAGGUUAAGCAAACGCGAAGCCGUAGCGAAAGCGAGUCUGAAUAGGGCGCUUAGUCAGAUGCUGCAGACCCGAAACGAAGUGAUCUAUCCAUGAGCAAGUUGAAGCUAGUGUAAGAACUAGUGGAGGACUGAACCCAUAGGCGUUGAAAAGCCCCGGGAUGACUUGUGGAUAGGGGUGAAAGGCCAAUCAAACUUCGUGAUAGCUGGUUCUCUCCGAAAUAUAUUUAGGUAUAGCGUUGUGUCGUAAUAUAAGGGGGUAGAGCACUGAAUGGGCUAGGGCAUACACCAAUGUACCAAACCCUAUCAAACUCCGAAUACCUUAUAUGUAAUCACAGCAGUCAGGCGGCGAGUGAUAAAAUCCGUCGUCAAGAGGGAAACAACCCAGACUACCAGCUAAGGUCCCUAAGUCUUACUUAAGUGGAAAACGAUGUGAAGUUACUUAAACAACCAGGAGGUUGGCUUAGAAGCAGCCAUCCUUUAAAGAAAGCGUAAUAGCUCACUGGUCUAGUGAUUUUGCGCGGAAAAUAUAACGGGGCUAAAGUAAGUACCGAAGCUGUAGACUUAGUUUACUAAGUGGUAGGAGAGCGUUCUAUUUGCGUCGAAGGUAUACCGGUAAGGAGUGCUGGAGCGAAUAGAAGUGAGCAUGCAGGCAUGAGUAGCGAUAAUUAAUGUGAGAAUCAUUAACGCCGUAAACCCAAGGUUUCCUACGCGAUGCUCGUCAUCGUAGGGUUAGUCGGGUCCUAAGUCGAGUCCGAAAGGGGUAGACGAUGGCAAAUUGGUUAAUAUUCCAAUACCAACAUUAGUGUGCGAUGGAAGGACGCUUAGGGCUAAGGGGGCUAGCGGAUGGAAGUGCUAGUCUAAGGUCGUAGGAGGUUAUACAGGCAAAUCCGUAUAACAAUACUCCGAGAACUGAAAGGCUUUUUGAAGUCUUCGGAUGGAUAGAAGAACCCCUGAUGCCGUCGAGCCAAGAAAAGUUUCUAAGUUUAGCUAAUGUUGCCCGUACCGUAAACCGACACAGGUGGGUGGGAUGAGUAUUCUAAGGCGCGUGGAAGAACUCUCUUUAAGGAACUCUGCAAAAUAGCACCGUAUCUUCGGUAUAAGGUGUGGUUAGCUUUGUAUUAGGAUUUACUCCGAAAGCAAGGAAACUUACAACAAAGAGUCCCUCCCGACUGUUUACCAAAAACACAGCACUCUGCUAACUCGUAAGAGGAUGUAUAGGGUGUGACGCCUGCCCGGUGCUCGAAGGUUAAUUGAUGGGGUUAGCAUUAGCGAAGCUCUUGAUCGAAGCCCGAGUAAACGGCGGCCGUAACUAUAACGGUCCUAAGGUAGCGAAAUUCCUUGUCGGUUAAAUACCGACCUGCAUGAAUGGCGUAACGAGAUGGGAGCUGUCUCAAAGAGGGAUCCAGUGAAAUUGUAGUGGAGGUGAAAAUUCCUCCUACCCGCGGC
rnacentral:rRNA from 1 species